AUGCACGCUGGCGGCGUGCCUAAUACCUGCCAGUCGAGCGAACGGACGAGAAGCUUGCUUCUCUGAUGUUAGCGGCGGACGGGUGAGUAACACGUGGAUAACCUACCUAUAAGACUGGGAUAACUUCGGGAAACCGGAGCUAAUACCGGAUAAUAUUUUGAACCGCAUGGUUCAAAAGUGAAAGACGGUCUUGCUGUCACUUAUAGAUGGAUCCGCGCUGCAUUAGCUAGUUGGUAAGGUAACGGCUUACCAAGGCAACGAUGCAUAGCCGACCUGAGAGGGUGAUCGGCCACACUGGAACUGAGACACGGUCCAGACUCCUACGGGAGGCAGCAGUAGGGAAUCUUCCGCAAUGGGCGAAAGCCUGACGGAGCAACGCCGCGUGAGUGAUGAAGGUCUUCGGAUCGUAAAACUCUGUUAUUAGGGAAGAACAUAUAUGUAAGUAACUGUGCACAUCUUGACGGUACCUAAUCAGAAAGCCACGGCUAACUACGUG
rnacentral:rRNA from 1 species